UUCCAAACUAUCACAGAAGAGGAAGGCUCUUAUUGUCUCACUGCACCCCAAAAGAUGCAUAACCUACAAAAUCCAUUUCUGUCUGGUUUUGAACCAGAGACCUUUGGCGUGUAAAGCAAACGUGAUAACCACUACACUACAGGAACUGAACUUGUCUGCUUUGUUUAAGUUUGAGGUUCUAAAGUUGAUGAUGUGAGAUGCAACAUGAAAAUUUCAACUGAAGUUUGCACUCAGAUGCCUGGAUUCUGAGU